GACAGAGGGUGCAAACGUUGUUCGGAAUUACUGGGCGUAAAGCGCGUGUAGGCUGCCCCGCAAGUCGGAUGUGAAAGCCCUGGGCUCAACCUAGGAAGUGCAUUCGAAACUGCGGGGCUGGAGUCCUGGAGAGGAAGGCGGAAUUCUCGGUGUAGAGGUGAAAUUCGUAGAUAUCGAGAGGAACACCGGUGGCGAAGGCGGCCUUCUGGACAGUGACGUGACGCUGAGACGCGAAAGCGUGGGGAGCAAACAGG
rnacentral:rRNA from 1 species